AGCGGAACUGCGGGAAGGAUCAUUAAAGAAUUCGGGUGCCUAGCGCGCCCCCAUUCUCACCCUUUGUAUACCUAACUCUGUUGCUUCGGCGGGCAUAGCGCCCGUCAGAGGACCUAAACUCUUGAAUUAGUGAUGUCUGAGUAAAUAUAUAAUAUUUAAAACUUUCAACAACGGAUCUCUUGGUUAGAUCAUCGAUGAAGAACGCAGCGAAAUGCGAUAAGUAAUGUGAAUUGCAGAAUUCAGUGAAUCAUCGAAUCUUUGAACGCACAUUGCGCUCCCUGGUAUUCCGGGGAGCAUGCCUGUUCGAGCGUCAUUACAACCCUCACGCUCUGCGUGGUAUUGGGCGCGCCCCUCUGGGCCCGCCUCAAAAUCAGUGGCGGCUCCCCCAAGUCCCUAAGCAUAGUACUACUCGCUGCUUCUGGAAACUUGGGAAGAGCCUGCUAGCAACCCCCACACUUUUAAAGGUUGACCUCGGAUCAGGUAGGGAUACCCGCUGAACUUAAGCAUAUCAAUAAGCGGAGGA
rnacentral:rRNA from 1 species